AACGAACGCUGGCGGCGUGCUUAACACAUGCAAGUCGAGCGGGAAAGCGGGUAGUAAUACUCGUGAGUAGAGCGGCGCACGGGUGAGUAACACGUGGGAAUCUGCCCCAAAGUGAGGAAUAACUGCCCGAAAGGGUGGCUAAUGCCGCAUAUGCUCUACGGAGUAAAGCUUCGGCGCUUUGGGAGGAGCCCGCGUAAGAUUAGAUAGUUGGUGAGGUAAUGGCUCACCAAGUCGAUGAUCUUUAACUGGUUUGAGAGGAUGAUCAGUCAGACUGGAACUGAGAUACGGUCCAGACUCCUACGGGAGGCUG
rnacentral:rRNA from 1 species